rnacentral:rRNA from 1 species
GACGAACGCUGGCGGCGUGCCUAAUACAUGCAAGUUGAGCGCUGAAGGAUGGUACUUGUGCCCACUGGAUGAGCAGCGGACGGGUGAGUAACGCGUGGGGAAUCUGCCUUUGAGCGGGGGACAACAUUUGGAAACGAAUGCUAAUACCGCAUAAAAACUUUAAACACAAGUUUUAAGUUUGAAAGAUGCAAUUGCAUCACUCAAAGAUGAUCCCGCGUUGUAUUAGCUAGUUGGUGAGGUAAAGGCUCACCAAGGCGAUGAUACAUAGCCGACCUGAGAGGGUGAUCGGCCACAGUGGGACGGAGACACGGCCCAAACGCCUAAGGGAGGCAGCAGUAGGGGAUCUUUGGAAAUGGACGGAAGGCUGAACGCGCAACGCCGGGUGAGUGAAGAAGGGUUUCGGAUCGUAAAACUCGGUUGGUAGAGAAGAACGUUGGUGAGAGUGGAAAGCGCAUCAAGUGACGGUAACUACACAGAAAGCGACGGCUAACUACGUG